rnacentral:misc_RNA from 1 species
GAUGAAGAACGCAGCGAAAUGCGAUAAGUAAUGUGAAUUGCAGAAUUCAGUGAAUCAUCGAAUCUUUGAACGCACAUUGCGCCCCCUGGUAUUCCGGGGGGCAUGCCUGUCCGAGCGUCAUUACAACCCUCAAGCUCAGCUUGGUGUUGGGCCCCGCCGCCCCGGCGGGCCCUAAAGUCAGUGGCGGUGCCGUCCGGCCCCGAGCGUAGUAAUUCUUCUCGCUCUGGAGGUCCGGUCGUGUGCUCGCCAGCAACCCCCAAUUUUUUUCAGGUUGACCUCGGAUCAGGUAGGGAUACCCGCUGAACUUAAGCAUAUCAAUAAGCGGAGGA